rfam:Otolemur garnettii contig031336, whole genome shotgun sequence.
GCUGGGCACAGUGGCAUGUGCUUAUAGUCCCAGCUAGUCAGAAGACUGGGGUAGGAGGAUUGCUUGAGUCCAGGAGUUCUGGUCUAUAGUACAGUAUAUUGAUUGGAUGGUCCCACUGAGUUUGGCAUUGAUCUGGUGACCUUCAGGGAGCUGGAAACCACCAGGUUGCCUAAGGAGAAGUGAACUGGCCCAGGUCAGAAACAGAGGAGCUCAAAACUCUUAUGCUGAUCAAUAUUGAGAUCAGGCCUGUGAAUAGCCACUGCAUUCCAGCCUUUUACCCCAU